UGGGAGGGCGCGCGUGGCAAAUCCCGCGGGGAAUGCGAGAGAGGCCUGUGGAAUGGGAACCCGGCACUGGCUUUUUGGAGAGAAGUUGCAAAUAGCUACAGAAAAGGAGCAAACAUCACCGAGGUAUGGGUGCCACUUUCUCAGGUGCUCUGCAGUUGUCUUCAUCAAGGAAGGAUUAUUUGAAAUCAGCCUGGUACUGUCUUUUCAAGGUUACACAGCUCCUGUGUUAAAAUGAAGGUUCCAAUUCAGUCUGGAUUUCACUAAAGCAGCACGAAAUAGCUCUUGAUUCUAAUACAAUAGCUAUGACAAGGUUAGAGGGAAGCUGAGGGUAGAGCUUUAUUUGAGAGAAGAGAGGAGUGGAAGAGGGAGGAGCUGAAAGCAGCAGCAGCAGAAAGAAGUCAUACGUGACUUUAAUCACAGAUGAGAAUGAGAGACCACUUGCCUGCAGGUUUACUGUCGGAGGGGCGGUUUGGCAAAAAAUAUGCAAGCUUUAUUUUUUCUGUCAAAUGUAUGGGUCAAAAUGAGAUAUGUUUACAUUUAAUUCCUUCUGUGUUCUUUAUUCUGUGUUUCAGUACUAUAUUUCUUGAAAUAAAGAUUUUAUUAAUUCUA